GCAUUCUUCAGAUUCAUCACCCGUCGCACUCACCAGUAGUGCUGGUUCCGUCUCCAUCCUGUUUUUCCGUCUGCUCGGAACCCAAGGACCACAUACACAACUUCUUCUCAGCCUGCCCUUCAGUCCAUACUCUCCACCUCCUUGGAAUCUGGACCGGACUCUCCCCACUCUCGAUCCUCUCUGGAAUGCUCCCAUGGCAGCCUUUUUCCCCGCUUAAUAACCAGGGUCUCCAAAAAGUUCCCGUUCGAGUUCUCCCUGUGCUCUACGCCUGUUUCCCCGCCCACGGAUUUCCCUUAGUUUCUGCGAAUGGUUUCUGUUAAACCCAGUUCUGUUCACGUUUUUGUUCCUUCUAAUAAAUUAUACAUAGUUCGAGCAAUUGA